ACAUACUAUUAUAAUAUUAUACUAAUAUAAUAAACAAAAUACCACUAUAGUAAUAAUUAUUAUUUUAUGAAUCAAAUUCAAGAUAUUAAAAAAAAAAUUGAACCUUACAUUUUGAACGCAGUGAUAAGAGUAUUGGUUUUUAAUGACGUGUGUGUGUGUGUGGUGUGUGUGUGUGUGUGUGUGUGUGUGUGCGUGUUUUUAUGUCAAAAACAAUUUUUAAAGUAAAAAAAGUACUCCGAUCAUUAGAUUUUAAGGAAUAGUGUUUAUAGAAAAUUGGAUCUAUAGUUUGUACUUGGAGGGUCGAAAGUAGAAAUUUUAAAAUUAAUUUAUCAAAUAACUAGGAAAAAUUUUUGAUUACAAAAAAUUCAUAACAUUUUACACAGAAUAAGUUUUUGACUAAAUUGAAUUACUUUUUUUUACUGCAAUCAAAGAAUAUACAUUAACCAAAUCUAACCAAAUUAAGUAAAUACCGAUGAACACAGAUUCACAUCUUUAAAGAAUUAUUUUAGAAUGACAGAGCGUUUCCGCUUAGAAUCAUUUUUAAUAAUAUAAAAUAAUUUAUACCAAAGACCUACUCAAUAACUAUUAGAUACACUUAUGACUUGAAUUUUAUUGUACAACAGAUAGGUUACUUAUCCGCUUUUUGUUAUGAAAAUAAUGUAUUUCUCGAAUCGUCAUUUUUUGUUUAAGCAAAUGACUAUAUAUAUGUAUCGGACUACUUGUUUACGUAAAAAGUAGUAUUUGUACUUAAAUAAUAAUAAUAAUAUGUACAUUGGACAAGAUUAAAAUGUCGUUACAGGACUCAAGACCUUAGAUAUAUCUGUUAGUAUGCGUGUGUGUUUAUCAAUAUUAUUUAGUAUUGCAGGCGUAGGAAGAUAGGUACAUUAUAAACAAUGACAACACUAUAGGAGAUAACGGCAUGCACUGGACUUAAACCGCAAACCGUUCAGCCAUGUGUAUCGUCUAAUAAUAUUAAAAUAAUAGUACGAGUAUAAUAUUAUUGCAGUGAGUAUCUACUGCUCCGUAGUAAUGACACGUGUCCGGAGAUCCAGACCGAUACCAUAGCUACUACAUCUGACUACAAUAAUAUUAUAAUAAUAUAUUCUAUCGUCUAGUAUCAUCUGUACAUACGAAAUAAUAGUAAUACGUUAUAAUAUAAUAUAUUUUCUAUUACAUUUUGUACUUCUACCUACCUAUAAUAAACCCUACGCGCGAUCGCGUUUAACAGUGAUUUAUAACGCGUAUAAGUGUAUAACUCGUACAAGAUAAUUAUGACGAUGGAGUACGCUAGACGGAUACUAAUUAUCGUCACAGUUCCGAAGCAAACGAAAUCCUUUCGUUUUCCACGCACUUGGUCAUUUCUAUACGAAACUGUGUCCAGCAUCGACUAUGACGGUGCUGGUGGCCAUUGCUCGUAGAUAUCAUGAUAGAAGAUCAUUGCAAUUACACAACGUGCAAUGACUGCAAUAUAAAUGGAACAAUGGCGUAUAUGGGGUUCUGCUGCAAUAGAUAUAUAAUAUUAUGUCGGUCGUCGGUCGACUUGUUGUCCUAUAAAUAGAAGUCGAAACUCAAUAUUAUCAUAACGUCCGUCCGUUGGGUUUUGUUUGCGACAUCGAACCCGUAGAGCGUGUAAUGUGUGAAAUGUGAAUAUCAGCUAUUCCUACAAGACCAUAUCUAUAAUAUAGUAUUAUGGAAUCCAAGGCUGGGUAUAAUCUAUUAAAUAAUUUUCAAAAUCCAGUUGAUUAAGACUACUAUAAUUGAGUUACUUAUACAUUUUUUAUUUACUAAAAUUAUCAUUCACUUUAAAUCACACAAAGUUUUGUGACAAAAACUAUUCA